CCCAGACUCCUACGGGAGGCAGCAGUGAGGAAUAUUGGUCAAUGGGCGCGAGCCUGAACCAGCCAAGUCGCGUGAGGGAAGACGGUCCUAUGGAUUGUAAACCUCUUUUGUCGGGGAGCAAAAGACGCCACGCGUGGCGUUCCGAGAGUACCCGAAGAAAAAGCAUCGGCUAACUACGUGCCAGCAGCCGCGGUAAUACGUAGGGAGCAAGCGUUGUCCGGAAUUACUGGGCGUAAAGGGCGCGUAGGUGGGCGCUUAAGUCAGGUGUGAAAACUCCGGGCUCAACCUGGAGACUGCACUUGAAACUGGGUGUCUUGAGGGCAGGAGAGGAAAGUGGAAUUCCUAGUGUAGCGGUGAAAUGCGUAGAUAUUAGGAGGAACACCAGUGGCGAAGGCGACUUUCUGGACUGUACCUGACGCUGAGGCGCGAAAGCGUGGGUAGCGAACGGGAUUAGAUACCCUCGUAAU
rnacentral:rRNA from 1 species